UACGAAGGGGGGCUAGCGUUGCUCGGAAUCACUGGGCGUAAAGGGUGCGUAGGCGGGUUUUUAAGUCAGGGGUGAAAUCCUGGAGCUCAACUCCAGAACUGCCUUUGAUACUGAAGAUCUUGAGUCCGGGAGAGGUGAGUGGAACUCCGAGUGUAGAGGUGAAAUUCGUAGAUAUUCGGAAGAACACCAGUGGCGAAGGCGGCUCACUGGCCCGGUACUGACGCUGAGGUGCGAAAAGCGUGGGGAGCAAACAGG
rnacentral:rRNA from 1 species